rnacentral:lncRNA from 1 species
AAGAAGUCAGGCCCCAAAGCCACGGUUUGAGCAAACCGUGCUGCCUGUAGCUCCGUCGUGGGGACGUAAAACCUGGGAGGCUGCAAACUGUGGAAGCUGUACGCACGGUGUAGCAGACUAGCGGUUAGAGGAGACCCCUCCCAUGACACAACGCAGCAGCGGGGCCCGAGCACUGAGGGAAGCUGUACCUCCUUGCAGAGGACUAGAGGUUAGAGGAGACCCCCCGCAAACAAAAACAGCAUAUUGACGCUGGG